GCAUAUCAAUAAGCGGAGGAAAAGAAACCAACAGGGAUUGCCCCUAGUAACGGCGAGUGAAGCGGCAACAGCUCAAAUUUGAAAUCUGGCGCAAGCCCGAGUUGUAAUUUGUAGAGGAUGCUUCUGGGUAGCGGCCGGUCUAAGUUCCUUGGAACAGGACGUCAUAGAGGGUGAGAAUCCCGUAUGUGACUGGCUUGCACCCUCCACGUAGCUCCUUCGACGAGUCGAGUUGUUUGGGAAUGCAGCUCUAAAUGGGAGGUAAAUUUCUUCUAAAGCUAAAUACCGGCCAGAGACCGAUAGCGCACAAGUAGAGUGAUCGAAAGAUGAAAAGCACUUUGGAAAGAGAGUUAAAAAGCACGUGAAAUUGUUGAAAGGGAAGCGCCCGCAACCAGACUUUGCGGCAGUGUUCGGCCGGUCUUCUGACCGGUUUACUCGCUGUCGUGAGGCCAUCAUCGUCUGGGACCGCUGGAUAAGACCUUAGGAAUGUGGCUCCCCUCGGGGAGUGUUAUAGCCUCUGGUGAUGCAGCGCGUCUCGGGCGAGGUCCGCGCUCCGGCAAGGAUGAUGGCGUAAUGGUUGUCGGCGGCCCGUCUUGAAACACGGACCAAGGAGUCUAACAUCUAUGCGAGUGUUCGGGUGUCAAACCCCUACGCGUAAUGAAAGUGAACGGAGGUGGGAACUUUUUGUGCACCAUCGACCGAUCCUGAUGUCCUCGGAUGGAUUUGAGUAAGAGCAUAGCUGUUGGGACCCGAAAGAUGGUGAACUAUGCCUGAAUAGGGUGAAGCCAGAGGAAACUCUGGUGGAGGCUCGCAGCGGUUCUGACGUGCAAAUCGAUCGUCAAAUUUGGGUAUAGGGGCGAAAGACUAAUCGAACCAUCUAGUAGCUGGUUCCUGCCGAAG
rnacentral:rRNA from 1 species